rnacentral:sRNA from 12 species
GACCUAAACUGCAAAGGAAUUUGUGGCAUGGUCAAAAACGCAGGACGAUAAAGAUCCCAUCAUCAGGAUCGCGUCCUGCGUCGUACGGGGAAACUCGUACGGACCCGCAAGGGUC